rnacentral:rRNA from 1 species
GAGGAAAAGAAACUAACAAGGAUUCCCCUAGUAACUGCGAGUGAAGCGGGAAAAGCUCAAAUUUAAAAUCUGGUGGUCUUUGGCCAUCCGAGUUGUAAUCUAGAGAAGCAUUAUCCGUGCUGGACCGUGUAUAAGUCUCCUGGAAUGGAGCGUCAUAGAGGGUGAGAAUCCCGUCUUUGACACGGAUUACCAGUGCAUUGUGAUACGCUCUCAAAGAGUCGAGUUGUUUGGGAAUGCAGCUCUAAAUGGGUGGUAAGUUCCAUCUAAAGCUAAAUAUUGGCGAGAGACCGAUAGCGAACAAGUACCGUGAGGGAAAGAUGAAAAGAACUUUGGAAAGAGAGUUAAACAGUACGUGAAAUUGUUGAAAGGGAAACGCUUAAAGUCAGUCGCAUCGGCUAGGGAUCAACCUUGCUUCUGCUUGGUGCACUUCCUGGUUGAUGGGUCAGCAUCAAUUUUGACCAGUGGAAAAAGUUCAAGGGAAUGUGGCAUCUCCGGAUGUGUUAUAGCCUUUGUUCGCAUACAUUGGUUGGGAUUGAGGAAUUCAGCACGCCGCAAGGCCGGGUUUCAACGACGUUCGUGCU